ensembl:lncRNA
AUGUCACACCCAUUGUUCCUGGUCUGCUUCCAUGGGUAUUGUUUAAAACUAGGGCAUGAUAACUUUUCUCCCAGAAACACGUCCUCCACUUCUGCAUUUUCCUUUCUGCUCAAUAUGACAAAGAGAACAGCUUGUUUUGGGGCUCAGCGGUUUCAAAGUUGGAACCGAGUUGGUUUUGAUCAUUUGUUUUUCUUCCUGCUUCUUGGAACCAUAUCUGUCGGUGCCUUAGGAGGGUCUGACCCAUGGAGAGGAGCCGCCUCCGGGUCACUGGAGGAUCAGCCACUCCUGCAGCUUUCCUCCACCACAGUCUUACCGAUGCGUCUGCAGAGUCCGCAUAACACCAACACGACAGAAAACACUGUCAGAAAAAGAAGGUCUUCCUCCACUGACACUGAUGUUUUGCCUCCAACGUUCCUGACUGCUGCUGAUCUUCCUUUUCUCAGAGAUCUGGUAUCAGACAAGAAGUUCACAGUUCGUUUAGGUCUUCACGUCUCUCUCACCGGUUGGAGUGAGCAUCUUGACCCUCAGCUUCUCCUGUCCAAGUACAAAGAGGUCAGAAGGUUAACACACCUAGAUAACUUUAAAGACAUAUAGAUGUGUAUCGCGUACUUCAAAUUCACAAUUACCAGGCAGAUUUCACCUUCAAUGUUAUGACUUGAGUGAGAGCUCCCACAGUUUCCCCCUGUGCAGAUAUCAUGAUCAGAGGGAUCAUAGAUGCAACGGAUGACACGAUCCUAAAGAAAAAAAAUAACUAAAUGUGUCUGCAAUAAAGCAAAAGCUGCUCUAGGCCCUACUUUCUGGUCUUGUGUUAAAAUUGUCCCUUUUUUGGCAGGAUUUCUUUUGUUGGUAUCGCAAAACUUAUGAUCAAAAUGAUAUGAUCGAACCUAAUGCAUGGUGGUUUUUCCAAAGCCUUUCUUUCACUGUCACAUAGUGUGCGGCAGACUCUUAUGUUCAGUAUGUUUGUAGCAAAGAGAAUAAUUCUAAAGGAAUGGAAGGCUACCACUACUCAUUGUUUUUCAUCUCAGGGACACAUCUUGAAAGGCUCCAUAGCAACACAGGUGGGUUUUUGUGAAAUAUUUGAAAGUAUGUGGGGGUCAAUUAUUAGACAUUUGAAUUCUCCUGAAUCUUAGUGGAGGUCCCUGCUAUGUUAUGUCUGUGUGGGAUGUUCUUUGACAUGUGUUUUUUAGGCUGAAACUGUAUAUAUGUCUCCGUCUGGCCUGACUUUCUGUGGUCAUCAUCUUUUUAUUGCUGUCGUUGCUGUGCUUUUGAAUGUGGGAAAUGUGUGCGUAUGGUAGUUGAUUUGAAAAUGAGGGAUUACAGAUGUGAUCAACUGCAAUAUUAAAGUCAUCACCGGUGAAGUGUUAGCUCUGUCAGUCAGUUGGAUAUGAUGAUGCAAGUGCAUUCUGUUUGAAGAAACGCCAAACAACAAACACACCCACCUCCUCCACUAAUCAAUGAUCAGCCAGUCUAAAGGUUGAAGGCAGAGGUUUUGGCUUUGGUCAGACUUUAUGGUUUAUCAUUUAUUCAUCGACAAACAUUGAGUCCAGCCCACACGGACUCUGCAAGCUGAAGUUAUUUCAUCUGUAUUUCAGCUCACAAACUCUGCGGCAUUUCAGACUGACAGCACCUUUUAAUUAAAGAACAGGCAUGUGUGGAUUAAAGGAUUAGAGUCUGGAGAGCUCAACAGCCUGAUGGAGUGGUGGUGGUGGGGAGGGGGGUUUGAGGGUGAAAGGCAUUUUUGGGUCUUAGAAAGAAGUCGAGUGUAGCUUCAGCUGAUUUAAGAACUAUGCCGAAAAAGCAGGUUUGUCAAGUGAGGCACUCUUGUUGAAGCUGGUGCUCACAACUGUCCUUUCUUUGUUUCUUUGAGCAGCCAGGCAUCUACAACACUGGAGAGAAGGCAGGAGUCUUUACAAUGAGAGUGCUGGGAGUGACCAGAGUGACCUCCUCACCCUGAUUUCAUCAUCCAGCCCUGGAUCUGCAGAAAUUCAUGACAAAUUAAUAAUUUCACUCUCUGCUCUUUCUUCUUGAAGCCCAUGGUGUCGUUGUUGUGGGUGUGAUGUUGUUAGCCAUCACUGUUUUGUGUUACUGAUCAAUUAAAGAUUAACGUUAUUAUCUUGAAACGAGCCUGUGAUAUGUGUGGUAGUUGACAGUUGGUCCCGCCCACUAAACUGACCGGCCAAUAGAAAUAGACGCUGAGUCUUUAUCCCCACCCUCUAUGCUGGGGAUCACGUUGACCGUGACGAAGUUUCUCUGCACUUCACCGGUCGCGAAGGUGGCGGCACAGUGUAUGGUUUAACGGUUCGUUGGAAAUA